CACGUAGGGCGCAAGCGUUGUCCGGAAUUAUUGGGCGUAAAGAGCUCGUAGGCGGUCUGUUGCGUCCGCUGUGAAAACUCGGGGCUUAACCCCGAGCCUGCAGUGGAUACGGGCAGACUAGAGGUAGGUAGGGGAGAAUGGAAUUCCCGGUGUAGCGGUGAAAUGCGCAGAUAUCAGGAAGAACACCUAUGGCGAAGGCACUCUGCUAGGCCUGAUUUCGCGACUGACACUCAGGGACGAGAGCCAGGGGAGCGAAUGGG
rnacentral:rRNA from 1 species